rnacentral:rRNA from 1 species
GAUGAACGCUGGCGGCGUGCCUAAUACAUGCGAGUCGAGCGAACGGACGAGAAGCUUGCUUCUCUGAUGUUAGCGGCGGACGGGUGAGUAACACGUGGAUAACCUACCUAUAAGACUGGGAUAACUUCGGGAAACCGGAGCUAAUACCGGAUAAUAUUUUGAACCGCAUGGUUCAAAAGUGAAAGACGGUCUUGCUGUCACUUCUAGAUGGAUCCGCGCUGCAUUAGCUAGUUGGUAAGGUAACGGCUUACCAAGGCAACGAUGCAUAGCCGACCUGAGAGAGGGAUCGGCCACACUGGAAGGGGGACACGGUCCAGACGCCUACGGGAGGCAGCAGUAGGGAAUCUUCCGCAAUGGGCGAAAGCCUGACGGAGCAACGCCGCGUGAGUGAUGAAGGUCUUCGGAUCGGAAAACUCUGUUAUUAGGGAAGAACAUAUGUGUAAGUAACUGUGCACAGCUUGACGGUACCUAAUCAGAAAGCCACGGCUAACUACGUG